rnacentral:rRNA from 1 species
GACGAACGCUGGCGGCGUGCUUAACACAUGCAAGUCGAGCGGUAAGGCCCCUUUUGGGGGGUACACGAGCGGCGAACGGGUGAGUAACACGUGGGUGACCUGCCUUCAGCUCUGGGAUAAGCCUGGGAAACUGGGUCUAAUACCGGAUAUGACCUUUGCCUGCAUGGGUGAGGGUGGAAAGAUUUGUUUGGCUGGGGAUGGGCCUGCGGUCUAUCAGCUUGUUGGUGGGGUGAUGGCCACCAAGGCGACGACGGGUAGCCGGCCUGAGAGGGCGACCGG